rnacentral:tRNA from 1 species
GGGGCUGUAGCUCAGCUGGGAGAGCACCUGCCUUACAAGCAGGGGGUCGGCGGUUCGAUCCCGUCAUCCUCCACCA